ACUGGCGGUGAUGGUACGUUGAAUGCACGAGUUCUCAAAGGAUCACUCAAGUGAAGCAACGUUGCGCGUGGUUGGUAUCCGGAUGGGUGACCAUCUGGAUAAUCGCUUUUCGACGAAC
rfam:Asian citrus Psyllid, Diaphorina citri - Florida Strain, whole genome shotgun sequence.